GGAAUCUUCGGCAAUGGACGAAAGUCUGACCGAGCAACGCCGCGUGAGUGAAGAAGGUUUUCGGAUCGUAAAACUCUGUUGUUAGAGAAGAACGUUGUGUAGAGUGGAAAAUUACACAAGUGACGGUAUCUAACCAGAAAGGGACGGCUAACUACGUGCCAGCAGCCGCGGUAAUACGUAGGUCCCGAGCGUUGUCCGGAUUUAUUGGGCGUAAAGCGAGCGCAGGUGGUUUAAUAAGUCUGAUGUAAAAGGCAGUGGCUCAACCAUUGUGUGCAUUGGAAACUGUUAGACUUGAGUGCAGUAGAGGAGAGUGGAAUUCCAUGUGUAGCGGUGAAAUGCGUAGAUAUAUGGAGGAACACCGGUGGCGAAAGCGGCUCUCUGGACUGUAACUGACACUGAGGCUCGAAAGCGUGGGUAGCAAACAGGAUUAGAUACCCUAG
rnacentral:rRNA from 1 species